GAUGAACGCUGGCGGCGUGCUUAACACAUGCAAGUCGAACGAGAAGUGAAGACGGAAACCUUCGGGCGGAAGGCUUUAUUUCUAGUGGCGGACGGGUGAGUAACGCGUGGGUAACCUGCCUCAUACAGGGGGAUAACAGUUGGAAACGACUGUUAAUACCGCAUAAGACCACAGCACCGCAUGGUGCGGGGGUAAAAACUCCGGUGGUAUGAGAUGGACCCGCGUUCGAUUAGCCAGUUGGCGGGGUAACGGCCCACCAAAGCGACGAUCGAUAGCCGAUCUGAGAGGAUGACCGGCCACAUUGGGACUGAGCCACGGCCCAAACUCCUACGGGAGGAAGCAGUGGGGAAUAUUGCACAAUGGGGGAAACCCUGAUGCAGCGACGCCGCGUGAGUGAAGAAGUAUUUCGGUAUGUAAAGCUCUAUCAGCAGGGAAGAAAAUGACGGUACCUGAGUAAGAAGCCCCGGCUAACUACGUG
rnacentral:rRNA from 1 species